rnacentral:lncRNA from 1 species
GUGGGAUUAAAGCAAUGCUUUCAUAUGCAUAGAGAGACUACCAUAACAUCUCAAGAUAGUUUCCAUCUCUAAUCUUAGUUCUCCCGAGACCAGUUCUGGAGUCCACAUCUUUUCCUUUCCUGAAAACCACGAGGACAGUGAUGGCAACUGAGAGACCAGACCUGGAAUGGACCUCGUCUGCCUCACGGGGAACCACAAGGAUGGCUGCUCGAAGACCGAGGCCGAAGUCCAGCACUCCUUCCUCCCCGGCAGCUCAACAGACUGGCAUGGCUACCCUGGAAUCAGGCCUGAAAAUCACUCCUCACCCCUCCAUGGAAACCAGAGAGAGCGUGAUGGCUUUUGAUGAAACUCAGCACAUUUCUUCAAGACCUGAAACAUCAGGCAUCCAAGAAAUACCAUCAGCUAUACCUGUUCUCCCGAGACCAGUUCUGGAGUCCACAUCUUUUCCUUUCCUGAAAACCACGAGGACAGUGAUGGGUAAAGAGUUAUUCCAUCCUAAUGUCUAUCAUUUCACAGUACUUAAAUAAGAAAAGCUGUAUUUCAAAAUUUAGUC